UGCAAGUCGAGCGGAUUGAUGGGAGCUUGCUCCCAUCAGUCAGCGGCGGACGGGUGAGUAACACGUGGGUAACCUGCCUGUAAGACUGGGAUAACUCCGGGAAACCGGGGCUAAUACCGGAUAACUCAUUUCCUCGCAUGAGGAAAUGUUGAAAGGUGGCUUUUAGCUAUCACUUACAGAUGGACCCGCGGCGCAUUAGCUAGUUGGUGAGGUAACGGCUCACCAAGGCGACGAUGCGUAGCCGACCUGAGAGGGUGAUCGGCCACACUGGGACUGAGACACGGCCCAGACUCCUACGGGAGGCAGCAGUAGGGAAUCUUCCGCAAUGGACGAAAGUCUGACGGAGCAACGCCGCGUGAGUGAUGAAGGUUUUCGGAUCGUAAAACUCUGUUGUUAGGGAAGAACAAGUACCGUUCGAAUAGGGCGGUACCUUGACGGUACCUAACCAGAAAGCCACGGCUAACUACGUGCCAGCAGCCGCGGUAAUACGUAGGUGGCAAGCGUUGUCCGGAAUUAUUGGGCGUAAAGCGCGCGCAGGUGGUUCCUUAAGUCUGAUGUGAAAGCCCACGGCUCAACCGUGGAGGGUCAUUGGAAACUGGGGGACUUGAGUGC
rnacentral:rRNA from 1 species